rnacentral:rRNA from 1 species
ACAGGGGAUAACAGUUGGAAACGACUGCUAAUACCGCAUACAAUCCAAUCUCGGCAUCGAGACUGGAUGAAAGGUGGCCUCUAUUUAUAAGCUAUCACUGAAGGAGGGGAUUGCGUCUGAUUAGCUAGUUGGAGGGGUAACGGCCCACCAAGGCGAUGAUCAGUAGCCGGUCUGAGAGGAUGAACGGCCACAUUGGGACUGAGACACGGUCCAA